CAGCAGGAAAGCCCGUCAUCCCUGAGCCGCCACCAGCCCUGCUGACCCACUGAGCCCUGCACUGGUGCAACCAUCCCGAUCGUUCCAGAUCCAGCCUGUCCCUCACAGGCAGCCCGUCCUCUCCUCAUAAAGACCCUGCAGCCCCCAUCUGCCAGCAAAACCCCGUGUAUGAGAAGUGGAGAAGGAGGGGCUCAUUUUACAAUGACAUUAAGAAUUCAUUCCCUUAAAUGAGGUAUGUCACCUUGCCAUUUUAACUUGAUUCAUUAAAAUAGUGGCUCAUUAGUUAUUCCCUU
rnacentral:lncRNA from 1 species